GACGAACGCUGGCGGCGUGCUUAACACAUGCAAGUCGAACGGAAAGGCCCUGCUUUUGUGGGGUGCUCGAGUGGCGAACGGGUGAGUAACACGUGAGUAACCUGCCCUUGACUUUGGGAUAACUUCAGGAAACUGGGGCUAAUACCGGAUAGGAGCUCCUGCUGCAUGGGGGGGGUUGGAAAGUUUCGGCGGUUGGGGCUGGACUCGCGGCUUAUCAGCUUGUUGGUGGGGUUGUGGCGUAACAAGGCUUUGACGGGUAGCCGGCCUUAGAGGGUGACCGGCCACAUUGGGACUGAGAUACGGCCCAGACGCCUACGGGAGGCAGCAGUGGGGAAUAUUGCACAAUGGGCCGAAGCCUGAGGCAGCAACGCCGCGUUCGUGAUGACGGCCUUCGGGUUGUAAACCGCUUUCGCCUGUGACGAAGCGUGAGUGACGGUAAUGGGUAAAGAAGCACCGGCUAACUACGUG
rnacentral:rRNA from 1 species